rnacentral:lncRNA from 1 species
AAUUCGGAGUCUCGAACGCUGCCAUCGUCAUGCAGGAGAAGAGAACAUAGGAAAUAGCUCACUUAGGUCUCUGGUUUAGCGAGGCGGGAGGAUGGAGACCACUACAAAAGUAGGUACGUAUGGGGAUGCGGAAACGGUGGUGGUGGUGGAUCCACAAGAGUGAGCAAUCUGAGUGUUAAAUGAUGCCAAUGUGAUGCGUAGAUUAUGAAGCAACCUGUGUCCUAAUUCAUGGUUUGUCUCGAGGAUGCUGCUAGUUUCGGCGGGACUUUGUAUAAGUUCCUACUCAUGACAUGACUGCAGACUUGAUAGAUUUUGAAGAAUUCAUCGCCAGGAAUGUUCCUUCUAAUGGCCGCACCUGGGCGAAGAACCGAUCCACUGAUUUCUGCACAUACAACACGACGUCGUAAGGUUUACUGUGGCUUAAGAAGAAACGUUAGGGAGGUACUGGCAUUGGUAGAGCAAUUUCCAUUUCAAUUCCUUUAGGUCGGUGAUUGAGUUGGUGUGUAGGAAUAACAAAUAGUAUGAUUAAAUGUUUCUGGUGUUAUCACUCACCUUUCCGUCCUCGGAGGCAGGAAGUCGUUCAUCCUCGUAGAAGAACCCCUUGAUUCCUUUCUUUGCCUGAGAAGUCACGGUGAGUCGCAAUUAAAUUUGAAUGUUUGAUAGUUUUUAUGACUUUUCUUUAGAUAAUUAUCUGCACAGAAGUUAGAUCGUCGAGCUUGCGAAUCGUGUGUACCGUCGGAUCCUCGUGAGGGUAUGGAGGUCGCACUAUCGGAGGCCGGUACUUCAAUCUUGCGCGGCACAUUUGAGUCAUCUGAUUGGUUUGCCCAUAGGUAGUGGAGUAGUGGUUGUUGCGACUGUGAUCCAGCCCCCACAUGUACUCUGGAUUCUCAUACGCAGGGCGCUGCUCAUCCCAUCUCAAUUCGAAAACCACGUGAAACACAACCCCAUUCUGCGUUUUCAUGGUUUAAGAGUGAACCAACUAUAGAUUUGUGUUGUAGGCAUGAAUUGUGCUUACCUUAGGUUUGUGUCCGGUGUAGCCCGGUUGCUUUCCACCCCAUUCUUCCAUGUCCCGGGUAUGGUAGCGAGGCAAUUGUACGUAGUAUGCAGGCGAGAUCUCCUCCAGGGGAAUGAAACCGCCAUAGCCUGGAAGAUGUCUGCCUCUUUGAUUCUCUUUCUUCCAUUCCCUUUCCUCGAGUGCCCUCACCUGCUCGAGUCCACUCUUGAAAUUAGGUUAAUCUGCAUGCUCAUUCAUUCUCAUAACAUGGAUUGUAUGUACUUCUUUUGUAGUGCUAGAUUUCAUGUGCAUGGAACGCUCUCGUCUCUUUGCAUAUUCUCAAGGGCACUUAUCAGAUGUUUAACGUAACCACAUCAACUCUUUACGGUAACGCUUCAGAUAAGACGCUUUGUGCAAUGGCUGCUGGACAAGAAUGAUCAAAUUCAUAGUGCAUAGAUUCCAAAAUUCUGUUGGAUAAAUUGUACCCAAUAAACAUUUAAACAGGUGGCUCAUAAUCAUGCAUUACCCUUUCACAAAGCAUCUGCAUUUUCAAUCGCUUCUUCACUCAUGAGAAGUCUUAAAAGCCGAUCUCCUUUGGAAGGUUCAUGUUGCCUUGGACAACAGGAGGUGUCGAAGACUCUUGGGACUAACCCUGGAUUGGUGAUCUGUGGCUCGUAUGUCGAAAAGGAAUGAAACACCAUCAGGUGAAGUUUGUGGUUAGAGAUUCAGUGUGUUACCGCACAAAGAACGAAAGUUCGAAAGACAUUCCUUUUCAUAUUUGAGUGCCUCUUCGUGCCUGUGGGUUAUCUUUGGCUUCCUGCUGCGCACAUUCAGAUCAGUUUCAUUGACUCCGUCAUCGCUGUUCCUCCGUUCUGAGGACCAGGUUUGUAUUCUUUCAUCUUCUCCGCAUUGAUACAUCUUAUUCAGUGACUUAAAACGUUCAACCACAGCUGAAGGUGAUUCAGGUUCUGAUCAGCUGCAUCGACGUGCAGACCCCAGCAAAAGUGAAGCACCGAGAUAACGAUGCAACGCGCCUCGGCUGUCAUUUAUGAAGGUAAUGAAUUCUUAACAGUUAGUGUUGAAGUUGAAAUCUGGAAUUAUUUUAAGGUGGCUGUGUAAGAAGAUCAUAUUGUAUUACAACGUGUACAAAUUUGUUUAAACGGUAUGGUCAUAGCUUCAAUUACUUUGUAAACUUUGUUUUUGUUUUAAUAAUGUGGAUGAGAAACUCAAUUACUUUUUUUGAUACAUUCUUAAUUUGAAAUGAAUCGGGAUAGAUGAUAUUUCUUUUGAAUAUUCAGUUUGAUAAUGAAAUUACCAUUAAAAUUUUAAGUUCUUAUUUAUGUUUCUUCAUUGUAAUUAUUAUAACAUCUAAAAUAAUUAUGUUAAAAGAAUUUCAAAAUCAAUUGCAUUUAUGGUGGUAUUUUUGUUUUUAUAAUUUUCAAGCUAUAGAAUCUUAAUCAAUUCAAAGAAGUGCAUCUUAAAAGGGCAAAAUACAAGGAUUCUAAGAUCUAUUCUUGCAUUCUUCAAUGAUUGUCCUUGAAAUUUGUUGAUAGUCAUUGUAAUUUUUACCUUUAUUAGAAAUUGGCUUUGCUACAAUUUGAACAAAAUCUUUGCAAAUGAUGGAUAUAAUGUGAUUUUUGGAAGAAAAGCCAACUAUCUCUUAUAGUCUCUAGAUAAAAAUCUUCCUUUUAUAACUCAAUUAGUGAGUUGUGUAAUAAUCAAGCAUGAUUCAUUGUGUAGUCUUUGAAAUGGAGCAAUAUUUUGCAACAACAUAAUAAGAUAGCCAACCUUUUAUUUCUAAACUAAAUGGUGGCAAUCUAAAUGGACUUAAGUUAUUCAAAUACUUGAUUGGAUAAUAAUAAUUAUUAUUAUUGAAACUAUUUUUAUAAUUUCUUUAUCUAUACAAAGAUAAAUAAGUAAAAUUUUAGAAUAUCAU